GAGAGAGAGAAAAGAAAUAGAGAAGCGAAAAAGCAAGAACGGCAAGAAACGGAAGCGCAUUAUUGAGUACCGGAGAGGAGCAUAAACUUUCAUACAUAUAUGCCUCAUUCAGCAACUGUGGCGCUAUCUUGGAACGGUCAACAAGAAGAGCUGUUUGAAUGCAAGUGAAUGGAGGAAAUGCCCACUGAGCUCCUUCUCAGACCGCUGCAUAAACUGCUUUUGUGUUGAAACAGUAUCACAGUCCAUAGGAACAUCUGCUAAUAAGAUUUGUCAGCUGCACAUUAAUGCUGCAAAUUUCCCAUUCUACCACAUCCCAAAGGCAUUCUAUUGGAUUCAGAUCUGGUGACUGGGAAGAACACUGGGAAUGUUCAUGAACCAGUUUGAGAUGACCUUCGCUUUCUGACAUGGUGCUAUUAUGCUGGAAGUAGCCAUUAGGUGGUUUGCCAGGUUGCCAUGAUUUUCCAGAGAAGUGGUUUAGUCCACCUGCCGGUGCUGCAUCCUUUGAAAAUGCUGCAGAUUAACAGACCAUUGUUGGAUGCUGAGGAGUUGAGUGUUUAGUUGACUGAACUGUUUAGAGAGUGGAAUAUACUUCACAUUGACUGUGUUCAUUACUUAGACAAAACUUGGUAGCCAAAUACACUAUAUUGCCAAAAGUAUUCGCUCAUCUGCCUUUAGACGCAUAUGAACUUAAGUGACAUCCCAUUCUUAAUCCAUAGGGUUUAAUAUGAUGUUGGCCCACCCUUUGCAGCUAUAACAGCUUCAACUCUUCUGGGAAGGCUUUCCACAAAGUUUAGGAGUGUGUUUAUGGGAAUUUUUGACAAUUCUUCCAGAAGCGCAUUUGUGAGGUCAGACACUGAUGUUGGACGAGAAGGCCUGGCUCGCAGUCUUCGCUCUAAUUCAUCCCAAAGGUGCUCUGUCGGGUUGAGGUCAGGACUCUGUGCAGGCCAGUAAAGUUCUUCCACACCAAACUCGCUCAUCCAUGUCUUUAUGGACCUUGCUUUGUGCACUGGUGCGCAGUCAUGUUGGAACAGGUAGGGGCCAUCCCCAAACUGUUCCCACAAAGUUGGGAGCAUGGAAUUGUCCAAAAUCUCUUGGUAUGCUGAAGCAUUCAGAGUUCCUUUCACUGGAACUAAGGGGCCAAGCCCAGCUCCUGAAAAACAACCCCACACCAUAAUCCCCCCUCCACCAUACUUCACAGUUGGCACAAUGCAGUCAGACAAGUACCGUUCUCCUGGCAACCGCCAAACCCACGCUCGUCCAUCAGAUUGCCAGAUGGAGAAGUGUGAUUCGUCACUCCAGAGAACGCGUCUCCACUGCUCUAGAGUCCAGUGGAGGCGUGCUUUACACCACUACAUCCGACGCUUUGCAUUGCACUUGGUGAUGUAUGGCUUGGAUGCAGCUGCUCGGCCAUGGAAACUCAUUCCAUGAAGCUCUCUACGCACUGUUCUUGAGCUAAUCUGAAGGCCACAUGAACUUUGGAGGUCUGUAGCGAUUGACUCUGCAGAAAGUUGCCGACCUCUGCGCACUAUGCGCCUCAGCAUCCGCUGACCAUUUUACAUGGCCUACCACUUCGUGGCUGAGUUGCUGUCAUUCCCAAUCGCUUCCACUUUGUUAUAAUACCACUGACAGUUGACUGUGGAAUAUUUAGUAGCGAGGAAAUUUCACGACUGGACUUGUUGCACAGUUGGCAUCCUAUCACAGUACCAUGCUGGAAUUCACUGAGCUCCUGAGAGGGGCCCAUUCUUUCACAAAUGUUUGUAGAAGCAGUCUGCAUGCCUAGGUGCUUCAUUUUAUACACCUGUGGCCAUGGAAGUGAUUGGAACACCUGAAUUCAAUUAUUUGGAUGGGUGAGCGAAUACUUUUGGCAAUAUAGUGUAUUACUUAGUGAAGUAAUAUUUCUUUGUUGUGUUCCUGUAUGGUAUUUACCUGUUUUGUUCUAUUGUCUGUCUAUAUUUGACAUGUGUUUCUGUAAAUAAUUGUAAAUAGCGUCAAUAGAAUAAAAUGCCA